rnacentral:rRNA from 1 species
UACAGAGGGUGCGAGCGUUAAUCGGAAUUACUGGGCGUAAAGCGUGCGUAGACGGCUAUCUAAGUCGGGUGUGAAAGCCCCGGGCUCAACCUGGGAAUUGCAUUCGAGACUGAAUAGCUAGGGUACGGUAGAGGGAAGCGGAAUUUCCGGUGUAGCGGUGAAAUGCGUAGAUAUCGGAAGGAACGCCGGUGGCGAAAGCGGCGCACUGGAUCCCCACUGACGCUGAGGCGCGAAAGCCAGGGGAGCAAACGGG